rnacentral:rRNA from 1 species
AGAACGAACGCUGGCGGCAGGCUUAACACAUGCAAGUCGAGCGCCCCGCAAGGGGAGCGGCAGACGGGUGAGUAACGCGUGGGAACAUACCCUCCGGUUCGGAAUAGCUCAGGGAAACUUGGAUUAAUACCGGAUACGGCCUAGCGGCGAAAGAUUCAUCGCCGGAGGAUUGGCCCGCGUUCGAUUAGCUAGUUGGUGAGGUAACGGCUCACCAAGGCGACGAUCGAUAGCUGGUCUGAGAGGAUGAUCAGCCACAUUGGGACUGAGACACGGCCCAAACUUCUACGGGAGGCAGCAGUGGGGAAUAUUGGACAAUGGGCGCAAGCCUGAUCCAGCCAUGCCGCGUGAGUGAUGACGGCCUUAGGGUUGUAAAGCUCUUUCGCUAGGGACGAUAAUGACGGUACCUAGACAAGAAGCCCCGGCUAACUUCGUGCCAGCAGCCGC